rnacentral:rRNA from 1 species
UACAGAGGUCUCAAGCGUUGUUCGGAUUCAUUGGGCGUAAAGAGCUCGUAGGCGGUCUGUUGCGUCCGCUGUGAAAACUCGGGGCUUAACCCCGAGCCUGCAGUGGAUACGGGCAGACUAGAGGUAGGUAGGGGAGAAUGGAAUUCCAGGUGUAGCGGUGAAAUGCGUAGAUAUCUGGAGGAACACCGGUGGCGAAGGCGGCAUCCUGGACCGGCAUUGACGCUGAGGCGCGAAAGCCAGGGGAGCAAACGGG